GAUGAACGCUGGCGGCGUGCCUAAUACAUGCAAGUCGAGCGAACAGAUAAGGAGCUUGCUCCUUUGACGUUAGCGGCGGACGGGUGAGUAACACGUGGGUAACCUACCUAUAAGACUGGAAUAACUCCGGGAAACCGGGGCUAAUGCCGGAUAACAUUUAGAACCGCAUGGUUCUAAAGUGAAAGAUGGUUUUACUAUCACUUAUAGAUGGACCCGCGCCGUAUUAGCUAGUUGGUAAGGUAACGGCUUACCAAGGCAACGAUACGUAGCCGACCUGGGAGGGUGAUCGGCCACACUGGAACUGAGACACGGUCCAGACUCCUACGGGAGGCAGCAGUAGGGAAUCUUCCGCAAUGGGCGAAAGCCUGACGGAGCAACGCCGCGUGAGUGAUGAAGGUCUUCGGAUCGUAAAACUCUGUUAUUAGGGAAGAACAAAUGUGUAAGUAACUGUGCACGUCUUGACGGUACCUAAUCAGAAAGCCACGGCUAACUACGUG
rnacentral:rRNA from 1 species